UGGGCCGGUAGCUCAACUGGUAGAGCAGCUGACUCUUAAUCAGCGGGUUCGGAGUUCGAUUCUCCGCCGGCCCAUC
rnacentral:tRNA from 1 species